UACCGUACACUUAAUCGUCAGAAUUAUUUGAUUCUGAUUACAUUAAUAGUUGCGAUCCGUUUUGCGUUUUUGCUUAUGGCACAGGCUAAAAAGCUUUGCUGGGAUGAUAAGGAAAGAUUUCUGGAAGAUACGAUUAAAGAUGUUAGAGAAAAAAAAUUUGCGUGUCUGACUGAGUGUUGGUGUCUUUGCUGCACUGUCAUGUCACUUUAGGAAAAACAAACACGAGGCAUGUGAAACAUAUAUAUUUACGUAAACAAUUUAGAAAAAAAAACCCUAAAGUUUGGCCAGGCAAAGCAUUAAUGGCCACAAGAGCAUUCGAAAAUAUGCGCACAGAGGCCAACGACAACGUGAACAAUGAAGGCCGACAAUGGACAGCAGGUCCAGUACCCGGACAAACUCCAGUACCCGGGUUUAACAACACCGGAACAACGUAGACACUGGGCCACGUAGAAGUGGUUGCAGCUGUUGUCGCGAAAAAAAUUCAUUGAGCGUAAAAUAACUCAAUGACGGCACUGGAGAUGUCAUCGGCAGCGAAUUGUCGAAUUUGGAGGCAUUGAUUUCGACAGUACCUUUGGAAUGCCGUGGAGUCUACAUCUUGAUUAUGAAUGUUGAAUCAGUUUCUCGGCCAAGUUUGACUCUAGUCGUUAUCUAUCGUACCACAACCAGCGGCACAAGCACCAUCACCGAAUUCACUACCUACUUUCCAUCGAAAGAGACCAUCACCACAGCACUAGCUACCUUCCUCACCAUAUCCAUCAAACGCGAACCAGUUCAGCUCCUGCUACAAGAAGUUGUUCAGGUGGCGGUUACAAUCGAACAAAGUGUAUAAGAUGUGGCUCCAGUAUUUCCAUUAGUCAGCGUUUGAAACAGCAACACGGCCAGCAAUUUCAGAAUUGCAUCCGCAGCACACAUUCCAAUGAUAACGGCCUUAGAGGUAGCACCAAGGUUGUCCCUGCGUCGUCAUAUUUUGGUAUACCAUUCUGAGAGCAUACAUCGGGUUCUAGGAACUGCCCAAAGAAAGCUGCGAGUAUUCAGAAGAAGGAGUCGUAUGUUUGUAUGGAAGGACAAUAUUCUAGAUUCACCCCGACUGACGAGGCCAAUAGACAAUCACUACAGUGUCUGCGGUGAUAUGGUGACAUCGCGGAAACUGCGGCUCUGGAGGAUGUUCAUUCCCUAAGUAAAUUUUUCAAUGCGGUGGAGUUCCAACUGGCAAACGCGAAACAUCGGUUCAACCGACUUAUCAAAAACUGUUUUCCUACAAGUUCGAAAUACGGCGUAAAAACCAGAUAAACAACAAUGCCAGUAACAUUAGAAUCGAUUCCGGCGAUCUGAUUAUUAUCGUGGAGGAUUUCUCCCGGUAUCCAUCCUACAUAGGUCAUUUUUUGUUUGGAUUUGGCGUUCUAUCAGCUGAUUAAUUAUUUUGUUCAUUUUUAAGAUUGAAUAGUCUGACAGCUUCCAGUGUUUGCGCAACUUUUUGAAUAUAUCAAUCAACUAUAUGUCAAAACCUCCAGCUGCAAUCAACUUCGAUUAUAUUUGUCGAGAUUUCUAUUCAUUAUUGGAAAGGAUUUUUCGAGGUACUUUUCCAUUUAUUUUUUAAAUUGAUCGAUAAAUAUUAGAUUUUUAUUUGUUAAACACUGAUUACUGCGCUUGAUAGUUUUAGAAAUCAUGUAAACGUCAUCGAAUGUGAAUUCAUUUCCAUCUUAAAUUAAUGCGUCAAAAAAAACGAUAAAAAAAUAGGAAUAAAAUGAGAUGAUUUAUAGUUUCGAAUCAAAUUUCAUGAUCAUGUCAUGAUCAAUUGGCAAAGCUUAGUUUGUGAUAAGUAAAUAAAGGAGCGUGGAUCAGAAUUAAUUUCUAAAUUUUAUAAAGUUCUUAGUUUAAAAAAAAAUUAGAAUUAUUAUAAAUUAAAAGUUUUUCGAAAUGGAUGUUCGAUACGAAAGCUUGAUGUAUGAAAUAAUAUGAUAUAAUAUGAAAUUAUAUGAUAGUGUAAUAACAAUCAACGGCUUAUUUAAUAAAUAAAUGAUAACACGAAUCGUCUACUAUUUUUUAAAUUUCAUCGUAAAACUGUUUUAAGAAGAUACACUGUAGCAUCCGCAAUAUUGAAAAUGAACGAUUAACUAAAGAUAACCAGUAUGGUUUCAUCCGAUUUGGAAUCGAGAGAAAAAAGCAAAAAAAAUGUAUCGUUUAUUUACUUAACAACCCGUUCCCUGUAUCGUUAUUUGUGUCUAAACGAUUCCAUUUCAUGAAAAAACGAUUAGUAUAAUCGUUCUUGAAUAAUCCAAAACUAUAAAGGGAAUCGUUUGGGUGUCUUGGGAAGAAGAUAAUGGGGAUCGUUCUUGUAUGAUACUGCU